GGUCCUGCGACUGGGUGUGGGAUUUGGCCUGCUCAAUGAUUUAUUAAAUAGCCGCGGUAUUUUGACCGUGCAAAGGUAGCAUAAUAAUUAGUCUUUUAAUUGGGGUCUGGUAUGAAUGGUUAGACGUGGGAGAAACUGUCUAUGGGCUAUGGUUGUCUGAGGUUUACUUUUAAGUGAAAAGGCUUAGAUGUCCUUGGGGGACGAUAAGACCCUAUAGAUCUUUACGUGCUGGUUUGCGUUAGUGUUAGCUAGGGCGUUUUGUUGGGGUGAUGGGGAGAUAUUGAUAACUCUCUUAAGUAGUGGUUGCCCGCCGGCAUUAUUAAUGAUCCAGUGGUUUUUGAUAGGUGGAUUAAGUUACCUUAGGGAUAACAGCGUAAUUUUUUUUGAGAGUUCUUAUCGACAAGAAAGGUUGCGACCUCGAUGUUGGAUUAAGGGGCCUUGGUGGUGCAGCUGCUGCUAGAGAGGGGGUCUGUUCGACCCUUGAUUCCUUACA
rnacentral:rRNA from 1 species